rnacentral:rRNA from 1 species
GAUCCUGGCUCAGAUUGAACGCUGGCGGCAGGCCUAACACAUGCAAGUCGAGCGGUAGCACAAGAGAGCUUGCUCUCUGGGUGACGAGCGGCGGACGGGUGAGUAAUGUCUGGGAAACUGCCUGAUGGAGGGGGAUAACUACUGGAAACGGUAGCUAAUACCGCAUAACGUCGCAAGACCAAAGUGGGGGACUUUCGGGCCUCACGCCAUCAGAUGUGCCCAGAUGGGAUUAG